AUUGAACGCUGGCGGCAUGCCUUACACAUGCAAGUCGAACGGUAGAGUAGCAAUACUCGAGAGUGGCGAACGGGUGAGUAAUAUAUCGGAACGUGCCCAAUCGUGGGGGGAUAACGUAGAGAAAUUUACGCUAAUACCGCAUACGAUCUAAGGAUGAAAGCGGGGGAUCGCAAGACCUCGCGCGAUUGGAGCGGCUGAUA
rnacentral:rRNA from 1 species